CGUUUACCUCCUUAGUGUAUUAAACUGGCCGGAGUCGCCGUGAUAGAGUAGAGAAGAUGAGCGGCGGAGGAAACAACGUCGUGAACAAAGUGUUCUACGCGACGUCGUAUCAUCCUAUCCAAGCCGGAAGCAUCGACGGGACCGACGUUGCGCCUCAUGAUAACGGCGUCCGUCGAGCUCUCCUAUGUUACAACGCCGGUCUAUAUGAUCCCUUUGGCGAUUCGAAAGCUGCCGGAGAUCCUUACUGUACCUUAUUCGUCGGUCGAAUCUCUCAUCUUACUACAGAGGAUACUCUUCGUGAGGCUAUGAGCAAACAUGGCAAAGUUAAGAGCUUGCGUUUGGUCAGACACAUUGUGACGGGUGCAUCACGAGGAUAUGCUUUUGUGGAGUAUGAGACUGAGAAGGAGAUGCGUCGUGCUUACGAGGAUGCUCAUCAUUCAUUCAUUGAUGGUAGAGAGAUUAUUGUUGAUUACAAUAGACAGCAACUGAUGCCUGGGUGGAUACCAAGACGAUUAGGAGGUGGACUUGGUGGUAGGAAAGAAUCUGGACAACUUCGUUUUGGAGGACGAGAAAGACCGUUCCGUGCUCCCUUGCGGCCAAUCCCUCAUGAAGAUUUGAAGAAGCUUGGGAUCCAGCUUCCACCAGAGGGAAGAUACAUGUCACGUACCCAGAUCCCAUCACCACCGAGGAGAAAAGGGUGUGUGUCCGAUAGAGAGGAAGGAUAUUAUUAUAGGGGAGAAGAGAGGAGCCCUGUCAAGAGAGAAGGGUCAUAUCACAGUCACAGGGAAAGCGAGAGUGCUCAUAGAAGACGCAACAAAGACAAAGAGGAGCGUUCCAGAAUAGAGUCUCGGUCUGACAGAAAAGACCGAUAUGGUGAUAAGGAAGAUGUUUCUGGGAGCAAAAGAUCAAACCAUGGAGAAGAACGUCCUCACAAACGUCAUAAACACAGGCGUCCCCUUCAUCAUAGGAGGUCUUCUAGCCGGGAUCAUCACCAUUCUUCUGACUUAGACACCUAGUGUUCAAUAGAAACACAGCUCUUUCUCUUUGUGCAAUCAAGUCAAUUAGUCAACCAACGUAUUGACAAGACGUGGAGUAUAGAGUUCAAUGGAAUAUAGAAACCAGUUCCAAAAACCAAAUAAGUUCAGUUACUAAGGUUUAUUGCUUGAUGAAGAAGAAAAUAGAGAGACACCAAUAUGAGAAAAGGAUUUCGUGUGGGAAGAGAGGUAUGAGACCGAACCGAACUGUGGCAGCUCAUUGACGGCCAUGUCGCAUCCAAGGUCUUUGACUACUUUGUAUCAAAUUGUUUUCUUCUUAACCAAGUUUUAUAUAUAUCCAAGCUUCGUCUAUACCAAA